rnacentral:rRNA from 1 species
GGGGAAUCUUGCGCAAUGGGCGAAAGCCUGACGCAGCGACGCCGCGUGUGGGAUGACGGCCUUCGGGUUGUAAACCACUGUCGGGAGGGACGAAAAAAAUGACGGUACCUCCAAAGGAAGCACCGGCUAACUCUGUGCCAGCAGCCGCGGUAAUACAGAGGGUGCGAGCGUUGUCCGGAAUUACUGGGCGUAAAGGGCGCGUAGGCGGCCCGAUAAGUCGGGGGUGAAAUUCAGCGGCUCAACCGCUGGACUGCCUUCGAGACUGUCAGGCUCGAGCACGGUAGAGGCUGGUGGAAUUCCCGGUGUAGCGGUGGAAUGCGUAGAGAUCGGGAAGAACAUCGGUGGCGAAGGCGGCCAGCUGGGCCGUUGCUGACGCUGAGGCGCGACAGCGUGGGGAGCAAACAGGAUUAGAUACCCUGGUAGUCCACGCCGUAAACGAUGGGUACUAGGCGUCGGGGGAGCGACCCCUUCGGUGCCGUCGUUAACACAGUAAGUACCCCGCCUGGGGGGUACGGCCGCAAGGCUG